AUUGUAUGGUGGUGGCACUCCCUAUAGCGGGCGGUGUGAUGAGUUAUUGCGAAAGAAAGACGUCACCAAGCCCGCAUAACGCGGGUUUUUUUGU
rfam:Enterovibrio coralii strain CAIM 912 contig00043, whole genome shotgun sequence.